ensembl:lncRNA
CUAAGCGCAAAGGGAAUGAAACCCAAAGAAACAGAACAGAAACAAAGAGGGCGAUGCGAUGAGGAGGCGGGAUACUGCAGCAGCAUCUGGAAAGAGAAACCACUGUGGCUCAGUAAGAGAUCCGCUCGCAGUUACAGACAGAACCUGAGCUCAGAGUUCUCAUAAAUUACUGCAAUGAGAUUAUUACAGCGAGGCUCCAGAUCCACUCCUCAUGCAAAACGGGAAAAACUUUGAGUAAAACAUACACAUGAAGGUUUUGGGGGUUUGUUUUUUCAAUCACCAGCAGUACUGAAAAUCAAGCAAGUAUUUCUUCAAAACAACCCUAACAGUCGUGCAUGCUGCAGAAAUCCAAGCACAGAACGUCUUCAGUGAAGAGACACAGUACGGGCUGCAGCGAGAGAAGAUUAACCUUUCUCAAUCCUACAGCCCAUUGAAAUGUAUUGAUUUUGAGCUGAAAAUAUCAUCUGUAGAAACAAAAUACUGUGUUCUCAUUGUUUAAUCCUUGAUGUCUCUGCUAUCUAGUUUCGUAACUGUAGAUAAGGGAUACAGAUAUUUGUCCAUAUAAAAUGAACAAAGUUCAGGAAUGCGUGUCCCUCAUGCCACUGCCAGCAUGCAGUGUCACCUUGCACGAUGAAGUCACUUUCAGACCCAGAUGAUGGACUUCAAUUGAUAAGAAACCUUUUUCUCCUCAUCUAUGACCUCUUUUCACCCACCACCCUGCAUUACACACUCAUCCCUCUUUCACUGAAUCCUUUUGUGGAGUGUACUGAGUGGGAAACUGUGCCCAAGCCCUCCACCCACCUCCAUCCAAUCCAAGUGCUGUCACUGACAGACUUUGUCUAGCACCAGCUGGAUCCUAUCCGUGGGACAGGAAUCACACGGCACUUCAUCUCUUCCACAUAACUGCUUCCCUUCUUCCAUAUUCCAGUGGAGUGGCUUUGCUGUCACAUCCUUUAGGGAAGUCCUUGUUCCUCCAGCGCCUCCUCAAACAUUCACAUGCUGGAUGGUCCUGGUGCCCUGCCACAACCUGGUACUUCCAGAAGUUUUUCUGUAUUGACCGCUGCCAGUGUCUUGGCACAGAGUUAAGUAGAGCACUAGUAGGGACAGGAGCUAAGAAGAGCACUAGUAGGGACAGGAGCUAAGAGAAAAUCUGUUGCGUAUCCUUAAGAGGCAGAUAGUCUCACUAAUGUCCCAGGCAGGCAACUCGGCAGCCUCAGCUUCAGAUGCCAAAAAGACAACCACAUGCUCCAGUCUUCCAUUCAGGGAUUGUAACUGAAGCAUCAAAGGGCAAUACAAUGUUGGGGAAUUUAUGGUAGCAGACCGCUGCCUGGCUCAAACCAGUUAAGUCUGUCUUCUCUGAGUGCUUCUUUGUGCAUGGCGGUGGGAGAGCAAAACUCAUCACACCUUCAUAGUUUAAAUCAAGCUGUCAUCUCCCUGAAUACAACAGUUAAGAAUGGUGCUAAUCAUUUGAACCCCUUCCACAGAAACGACCACCACCUCUCUGAAACAAGUACAGAAAAUACUUUUAUCUAAUAAGAUAGCUUGAUUAACUUUCCUUCUGCAUAAGAAGGCACUGCAGAAAAUGUAGCUCCAAAAUAUGUAAAUUUCCUUCCUAAAAUUUUCACAAGUUGGAGAGAGAGCGAGGGAAUGCCAGCCUUCCUCUUCUCUUCUUGCUAUUUCUAUUCCUGUAGAUGCUGCUAUAACGACAACAUCCAGCAGCUUUUCUACCAACUGUAUGAUCAUUUUAGGGGUUCUGAGCUAUUUUUUCCUAGGAGAGGCUCUUCUAAGGGAGCUAGUCUAUCGUUUCCUCUCCUUUGACUGUUUUUCAUUCUCGGAACAUGAGGAAGUAAACUACAUAAGAGACAAAAGACACCAGAAUAACGCUCCCAUGUAGAAGGCCACCUAUUCAGGGGGUAUGAAACGCCACCCCUCUGGAAACAUCAGCAUAAGAGGACGACAGUAACUGGUGACACCGGUGAAAGUGACUCCUUUUGCAGCGGAAUGCCUUGCAGGAUGACCUGAGCACUUCAAGACAGAAAAUAUUCCUUUGCUGUAGCCCUUAUACUGUGUUCCCAGCACUACAGUGGGAAAGGCAACUUCCUCCUAAUUCAAAUAGGUCAAGAGAAGAAAAAGAGAAAGCAUAUGCUAAGAACAGGUAUGUUUUUCUUCAGAAAUAUCAGAUUUAUGAUGAAAGAAAAAUGUUUCAGAAAUCCAGUUUCAAUAAUGACCAAGCAUGUUUCAUUCCAUACUCGUAGAUUCAGUUCACAGUCACAUUUCUGCCCUGCGAGCCUCAAGUUUCUGUCUGCAGCUCACAUACUACCAUCUAUUAUAGACAAAGUGUGCAAGAAGCCAUUUAGAGAUAAUACAUAUAUAUUUUUGUAUUCCCAGUCUUUCAUACUGUCUUCUACCAAAUAAGCCUUUCAUUUUCACAUGACUUGCUCACCUCUAGGGGAAUGAAAGAAGUUUAAUCCCUAUAAUCCAUUCACUACUCGGUUUCAGCAACUAGAAGAAGAGCCACUGGAAGCACUUAACGCAUGCGUUGAUGAAGAGAGCGAUUCGCUCACUUAGUUUUCUACUGACCACUGAAUGGGAUGCUACCUCCAUAAAACAUUUUUUUCUUCUCUCUGAAUAACCUGGGUCAGUUGUGGACUAGCAGAUAAAAUGAAAAACGAUGGCUGAGCAAUGAUCGUUUAAUUUCCUGUGUUGUGGAGAUACCCCAGAUAGCAAUGGUGCCAGGUAAGAAUCUAAAAUGUCUGCCUGGACCAUGGCAGCCUUGGUCUGAGGAGCAACAUUCUGCAAUUUCAAGGUUCUUCUGUUAAUCUGUUGGUGCUGCACUAAGCGUGGUACGUGAAAACCACAGACUCUAAAAAUAAAAGCAGAAAAUAGAUAUAAGUCUCAGGUAACAUCCCAAGGGAGCUGAUUAUACAUACAUUCAUGAAUGCAAUAUUGCCUUGCCCCAGAUGACUUCAAGUUUUUCAUUUAAAUAUUUUCCUAAAAAUUGUUCCACGAGGACUUCUACGAAUAGCACACCCGGGGACAGAAAGUCCUGCAGAGCUGUGUGAGUACACCUCGACAGUUAUUCCAUAUAUAAGAGUGGAAAUGUACAGAGACUUCACACGGUGAAGUGAGCAAGGUAAAGAACACAGCUUCCUUUCUGUUAGCGUACUGCCGAACAUACACACGAGAGGCAUCUGGUAGUGAAUAUAAUUGAACUACUCUGCUUCUGGUAAGGGUCCCAAAGAAAAAGAACUUGAAUAAUGGAAAAGGAAAGCAUGACGACAACAGCCGUACCAAAAUGGGCCCACUGCAGAAGUACUCAUCCGUCUCAUAGUCCAUUUUGCCGGGUCACGAGAGCACUGAACUAACAGAUGGGACAUCCAGCAUUCCUGAGCCAAACUCCCCACUGCUCUGCAGAACCACACACUCAUCUUUUCUGAUUUUUUCAAACUUAAUUUUAAAAGCAAUUCAGUUUUCCUGCCCAUUUGAAACCUCUCCAGAGCAUUUACAGAACAACAGUGAGAACUUUUCUUGCCAUUUCCAGUAAACUGUGCUCACUUUUUUUUAGCUUGCUUCUGCUAACCUCGAGCUUGCAAGUUCCUUUCCUCCCAUACAUAAAAAACACACAACUUCUAACUGUUGUGUCUCCCAGCACGCAGACUCUUCAUUCCUCUUAACAUCCACAGCCCUAUUCUGCGUCUGUUCAGAACCGUUUAUCUGAGUGUGGGCAAUCAGUUGGGCCGCAGAUAAGGAUACGGUCUCAGGCAGCCAUGCAAUCUGACAUCAGUAUUUUGCACAGCCAGCGGAGGCCCUCCCGUAGCAGUUCCAGAGGACGGCCUUUUCACUCACGUACUUUCUGAGCCCCCUCACAGCAGCAGCAUGCCGCCAUCCUGCUGCCUACCGCUCCGACCCCUAAUUCGCUGCCAAGCCGGGGAGCUCUACUUGCAGAGAUCACCACUGCCUUCUAUUUGCAUCACCAAAUCCCAUUACUCUUAGCUUUACUUCAUCUUGUUGGCACACGGAUGUUCCAAGCCUCCCUUCUGUCGAUGCAGUCUCCCAGCUUCGCGUUGCAGAAUUUCCUCACUCUAAUUCCACUCGUUUACAAACUGCUUCCCUCCUCAGCUCGUCCUCAGACCAAACAUCCCCACUGCCGAGUCCUGCCAGCUUUGCGGAUCCGUCC